rnacentral:rRNA from 1 species
GAUGAACGCUAGCUACAGGCUUAACACAUGCAAGUCGAGGGGAAACGAUAUUGGAAGCUUGCUUCCGAUAGGCGUCGACCGGCGCACGGGUGAGUAACGCGUAUCCAACCUGCCCAUCACUUGGGGAUAACCUUGCGAAAGUAAGACUAAUACCCAAUGACGUCUCUAGAAGACAUCUGAAGGAGAUUAAAGAUUUAUCGGUGAUGGAUGGGGAUGCGUCUGAUUAGCUUGUUGGCGGGGUAACGGCCCACCAAGGCGACGAUCAGUAGGGGUUCUGAGAGGAAGGUCCCCCACAUUGGAACUGAGACACGGUCCAAAACUCCUACGGGAGGCAGCAGUGAGGAAUAUUGGUCAAUGGACGAGAGUCUGAACCAGCCAAGUAGCGUGCAGGAUGACGGCCCUAUGGGUUGUAAACUGCUUUUAUAAGGGAAUAAAGUGAGUCUCGUGAGGCUUUUUGCAUGUACCUUAUGAAUAAGGACCGGCUAAAUUCCGUGCCAGCAG